rnacentral:misc_RNA from 1 species
AACGCACAUUGCGCCCGCCAGUAUUCUGGCGGGCAUGCCUGUCCGAGCGUCAUUACAACCCUCAGGCCCCCGGGCCUGGCGUUGGGGAUCGGCGGAGCCCUCUGGGCACGCGCCGCCCCCUAAAUCUAUUGGCGGUCUCGCUGCAGCCCACUGCGUAGUAGCUAACACCCCGCAACUGGAAAGCGGCGCGGCCAUGCCGUAAAACACCCAACUUUAUGAUGUUGACCUCGGAUCAGGUAGGAAUACCCGCUGAACUUAA